AACGAACGCUGGCGGCGUGGAUAAGACAUGCAAGUCGAACGGGACAGACCGAGUAGCAAUAUUUGGAAUGUUCGGUGGCGAACGGGUGCGUAACACGUGGAUAACAUUCCGGAAAGCGGGGAAUAGCCCAGGGAAACUUGGAUUAAUACCGCAUGUGGCCGCAAGGCUAAAGACGGGGACCGCAAGGCCUGUCACUUUCCGAUUGGUCCGCGGCCUAUCAGCUAGUUGGCGGGGUAAUGGCCCACCAGGGCUACGACGGGUAGCUGGUCUUAGAGGACGACCAGCCACACUGGAACUGAGACACGGUCCAGACACCUACGGGUGGCAGCAGUCGAGAAUCUUUCACAAUGGGGGCAACCCUGAUGGAGCGACGCCGCGUGGAGGAUAAGGUCUUCGGAUUGUAAACUCCUGUCAUGCGAGAACAAGGUACUCAGGCUAAUAACCUGAUUGUUUGAUGGUACCGCAAGAGGAAGAGACGGCUAACUCUGUGCCAGCCGCCGCAGUAACAC
rnacentral:rRNA from 1 species